rnacentral:rRNA from 1 species
GUGUCAGCCGCCGCGGUAAUACGUAGGGGGCAAGCGUUGUCCGGAAUCAUUGGGCGUAAAGAGCGUGUAGGCGGCUCGGUAAGUCCGCUGUGAAAGUCCAGGGCUCAACCCUGGAAUGCCGGUGGAAACUGUCGAGCUAGAGUCCGGAAGAGGCGAGUGGAAUUCCUGGUGUAGCGGUGAAAUGCGCAGAUAUCAGGAGGAACACCAAUGGCGAAGGCAGCUCGCUGGGACGGUACUGACGCUGAGACGCGAAAGCGUGGGGAGCAAACAGGAUUAGAUACCCUGGUAGUCCACGCCGUAAACGAUGGGCACUAGGUGUGGGGGGUGUCGACUCCCUCCGUGCCGACGCUAACGCAUUAAGUGCCCCGCCUGGGGAGUACGGCCGCAAGGCUAAA